rnacentral:rRNA from 1 species
AACGUAGGUUCCGAGCGUUAUCCGGAUUUACUGGGCGUAAAGCGCGUUCAGGCGGUUUGGCAAGUCGGGCCUGAAAUCUCUCGGCUCAACCGGGAGAGGUUGUCCGAUACUGCUGGACUUGAGGGCAGUAGAGGGUGGUGGAAUUCCGGGUGUAGUGGUGAAAUGCGUAGAUAUCCGGAGGAACACCAGUGGCGAAAGCGGCCACCUGGACUGUACCUGACGCUCAAACGCGAAAGCUAGGGGAGCGAACGGG